UGCUACAAAGUAGGAGCGUGGAUGAUAUAGUUAGAGAAUUAGUAGCAUCACGAAUUAGGUGGUAAUUAAGUUACUGUUUGAAAUGGAGCUUUUCUCUCUACCGUUGAAUUAAUCCAAAGUGUUUGAGCAUGAAACAUAUAUAGGGCUGCCAUGUGGAUUUAAUUAAAGAUUGGUUCAAUAGUUUUGUUAUAACUUAAUUCAGGAGUGGAGUGUGGUUAAACUAACUAGAGUUAAGUCCAAUCAAAAAUCUAUAAAUAGAGAUAUGUAGUGCACUUAUUUCCUCACUCAUAUUCAAAGAAGCCAUCAAAAUUCUCAAACCACACUCUUACUAAAUUUUAUAUCUAAAACAUUCAUUCUUGAGCCCUCUCUCUACCGCCAGCUAUAGUCACUUUCUUCUAAUCUCAUUAAUCACUUGUUUCUUGAAAAGCCAAAAGCCAAAAUCACUACACCACCAUCGCCUCUCCUAUACAUAUAUACACAUAAAUAUAUAUGGCUCAUCACAUUCUUCAUCGUUUCGACGUCACUACCUUCAUUGUUUUACAUUCAAGUUUCUAGUGCUCUACUAGAUUUUAUUUGAAAACUAAGGUUUUUCCUAAGACAAUUAUUCUCAAGGAUCACUUUCAUUGCAAUCAAGGCUAGGACUCCAUAUUCGAGACCAAUGUAACUGAAAGUCUAGAAUGCCAGUGGCGAAUGAAACUUUGGACGCUUGUGUGUGUGAACUCGCUGAGGGCCAUAUAACUGCGAGCAGUCUAGGGCGCUCUAUUUAUUUAUUUACGCUAUUAAAUUUACGUCGCAAUUAUUUAUUAUGUCUUUUGUAUGAAAAUUGGCCAGUUGUGAACAUUUUCAAGUAUUAAAUAAAAAUGCGACAUUAUAAUUUUCUGCGUUUAACGCUUGUAAAAAAAAAAUUAAUAUUUUUAUAAAAGUACGGGCAUUACAAAAUGGUAUCAAAGCCUUGACCCAGCCGGAAGUGUGGUCGACGAGGACAUCGGACCCCGUAAGGGGGCUGAUUGUGACAGUCAGUAGUCCCGUGAUCUGUAAGGGGAAACACCGGGUAAGCUGUGCAAUCCCACAUCGCCUGGGGAAGGUCAAGUGUGACUACACAGUUGAAGAGAGCUUAAAUGGAUUGAUUGGUACUACCUAUAUCAACAAGGUGCAUCUUUUUUUUCGGUAGCCCAUCACGAAAGAACUCUACAGUUAAGCGUGCUUGACCUGGGGUAAUUUCAGGAUGGGUGACCUCUUGGGAAGUUUUCCUAGGAAGCGUGCGAGUGAGGACAAAGUACGCUGGAAAUACUUGUGUUGGUCUGUAGGGUCAGUCAUCAGUCCAUGAAGCAGCCAGAGUAACGUACUCGUGUAUAAGAGUCAUUCAUUCUGUGGGUGUAAGGACCCAAUGGAGGCUUGAAGCGGGGACGUUACACAUGGCAUGUGGGGCGCACUCACAUGUAAGCGAGGCGGGACAGUCGUCCUUGGAUAAAAAAAAUUCGGAAAAAAAAAUAUAUAUGCAAUUUAGUUAGUUACGACAUAUAUUUGUAAUAAAAAAUUGAUAUUUAUAGAUAUAAUAUUAGAUUUAGUGUAAUGGUUAAAUUA